rnacentral:rRNA from 1 species
UAGGGAAUCUUCCACAAUGGACGCAAGUCUGAUGGAGCGACGCCGCGUGAGUGAAGAAGGGUUUCGGCUCGUAAAGCUCUGUUGUUAAAGAAGAACAUAUCUGAGAGUAACUGUUCAGGUAUUGACGGUAUUUAACCAGAAAGUCACGGCUAACUACGUGCCAG